rnacentral:lncRNA from 1 species
UACUAUUCAUCUCAUUAUAAUUUACAAAUAAUAGGGCUCAAACGACCCCCUAGUUGAAAAGUAAAUUUAGAAAAAGGAAAAUUGGAAAGGGGGGCAAGUUGGAAGGUGGAAAUUGAUUGUCUAACGGCUGGGAAUGAUGCUUCCGUUAAUUUAUGUGUCAGGAUACGAAGGCGAUUUGGUAGCGAAGUGGUAUUUUGCUAAGUCGGGAAGUUUUUGAAGUUGUGUUGGCUCGGCAGCCAACCUUUUUCAGGGAGACCAACCCACAGCCCAAGAAACACGAACACUUUGGCAAGCAAAUCUGACUUCACUCAUGGACAGGCUAGCAUAAAUAGGUGAGUUACUUGAGUGACUAUCCAAGACUUAGAAAGAAAAGCUUUCUACCAUGUUAAGGAACUAAAUAUUUGGCAUACAUACAAUUUUUGAGAUGUGCAUUAAUUGAUUUCUGAACUUUUGGAUGCAUUGCUUUUAAUGACAUAAUUCCUAGGCGACAGAAGAAUUCCCAUGCUUGCAGAGGCGGACCCACAGUGGGUUCUAGUGGGUCACGUGACCCACCAACUUCCAGAAAUUGAUUUUUAUUUUUAUUUUAUUUUUUUGGCCUUCAGUCCUCUUCGACAGAACCCAGAAGAAGACUCCAGUGCCCAAAUGGAAAAAUCGAAACCCAUCCCUAGUUCCCUUCCCUUGGAAAAUCAAAACACAUUCUUCUUCUUCUUCUUAUGUCGAUGAACACUCUUCCACCGACAUAACAUACUGUAAAUGUGUUUAGUUGUGUGUAUUGUUUAUGUAUUUAAAAAAAAAAAAUCACAUAGUGAAUCUAUCCAUGAUUGGUGAUAUCAUAAUUCAGGAACUGAGUUGGGCAAAGAUUUUUGGACAGUCAACACAUAGGUAUUGAAUUAUUCGGAUGUCGUUCAGAGAAAUGUGUAUUGUAUUGUGUAUGUAAUUAUCAUGUAAAAAGAAAGUGAGAGAACUGAAAGUGGAAACAGAGGGUAAAGGAUGAAACAAAGAGACGAGAGAGAGAGUGGUGAGUGUAUAAACUAGAAAGUCAUAGAAGUCAGUAUGCCACCGUAUGUUUUAUUGGAAUGAGAAAAUUUCAUUUGGCCUUUGGGGGAAUAAAAUAAUAUAAUAUUGGAUAGUGGUAUUUGAUGAUCAAAGUCGUGUAACUUCAUUUCAUUUCAUAAAAUUUUAUUUUUCAUGUCUAAAUUCAAUAGUGAUGAUCUAGAGCAGUCGGAUGAAGAUGUUUUGGUUAUCCAUAUAUAUCGAUAAUUUUUUUCAAACAUUUUAUUUUUAUUUUUCAAGGAUCGUAUUAAACCAUUCUAUUGCAUAUCGAACGUUUUUAUUUUUAUUUUUUACAACAUUUUUGCAAUUUUGAUUGUGUCAAGGACAGAUCUAGGUUCGGAUUACAAGUCGGACUAAUACAUAACAAACUGUGCUAAUAUGUAAAAAAAUUAAAUGUAC